GCCAGUGUGGCAUAGUGGUUUAAGCGCUCGACUCUGGAGACCAGGGUUCAAAUCCCUGAUCAGCCA